rnacentral:lncRNA from 1 species
ACCAUUGUUGACAUCUGCUCCUAUUUGAUGGCUUUUCCUACGGCAUUUUGGAGCAAUUGAUUGGCCUAAAAUCUGAUUAAUACUCACGCUUGCCGAGAAUUGUUUUACUAGGAGAUAAGUAGAUAACCAUUUAACUCACAUCAAAGAUAAAGUAAAUUAUCAUGACCGAACUGAGCAUAAGCUCACUUAGUGCUUCGACCUUUCAUGUUUAUGAUUCACUAAUUCUGGUCCUUCCAUUACUAUAGAAC